CAGUCGCCGCGGGAAUACGAAGGGCGCAAGCGUUAAUCGGGAUUACUGGGCGUAAAGCGUGCGUAGGCGGUGAGUUAAGUCUGCUGUGAAAUCCCCGGGCUCAACCUGGGAAUGGCAGUGGAUACUGGCUCGCUAGAGUGUGUCAGAGGAUGGUGGAAUUCCCGGUGUAGCGGUGAAAUGCGUAGAGAUCGGGAGGAACAUCAGUGGCGAAGGCGGCCAUCUGGGACAACACUGACGCUGAGGCACGAAAGCGUGGGGAGCAAACAGGAUUAGAUACCCCAGUAGUCCCUGUCUCUUAUAC
rnacentral:rRNA from 1 species